GGGUGCGUAGUAUAAUGGUAGAAUAUCUGCCUCCAGAGCAGAGGACGGGGGUUCGAUUCCCUCCGCGCCCA
rnacentral:tRNA from 2 species